GCAGAUAUAGUUCAAUGGUAGAAUACUAGCCUUCCAAGCUAAGGAUGCGAGUUCGAUUCUCGUUAUCUGCUCCA
rnacentral:tRNA from 1 species